rnacentral:rRNA from 1 species
AGAGUUUGAUCCUGGUCAGAACGAACGCUGGCGGCGUGCCUAAUACAUGCAAGUCGAGCGGACAGAUGGGAGCUUGCUCCCUGAUGUUAGCGGCGGACGGGUGAGUAACACGUGGGUAACCUGCCUGUAAGACUGGGAUAACUCCGGGAAACCGGGGCUAAUACCGGAUGGUUGUCUGAACCGCAUGGUUCAGACAUAAAAGGUGGCUUCGGCUACCACUUACAGAUGGACCCGCGGCGCAUUAGCUAGUUGGUGAGGUAACGGCUCACCAAGGCGACGAUGCGUAGCCGACCUGAGAGGGUGAUCGGCCACACUGGGACUGAGACACGGCCCAGACUCCUACGGGAGGCAGCAGUAGGGAAUCUUCCGCAAUGGACGAAAGUCUGACGGAGCAACGCCGCGUGAGUGAUGAAGGUUUUCGGAUCGUAAAGCUCUGUUGUUAGGGAAGAACAAGUGCCGUUCAAAUAGGGCGGCACCUUGACGGUACCUAACCAGAAAGCCACGGCUAACUACGUGCCAGCAGCCGCGGUAAUACGUAGGUGGCAAGCGUUGUCCGGAAUUAUUGGGCGUAAAGGGCUCGCAGGCGGUUUCUUAAGUCUGAUGUGAAAGCCCCCGGCUCAACCGGGGAGGGUCAUUGGAAACUGGGGAACUUGAGUGCAGAAGAGGAGAGUGGAAUUCCACGUGUAGCGGUGAAAUGCGUAGAGAUGUGGAGGAACACCAGUGGCGAAGGCGACUCUCUGGUCUGUAACUGACGCUGAGGAGCGAAAGCGUGGGGAGCGAACAGGAUUAGAUACCCUGGUAGUCCACGCCGUAAACGAUGAGUGCUAAGUGUUAGGGGGUUCUCCGCCCCUUAGUGCUGCAGCUAACGCAUUAAGCACUCCGCCUGGGGAGUACGGUCGCAAGACUGAAACUCAAAGGAAUUGACGGGGGCCCGCACAAGCGGUGGAGCAUGUGGUUUAACUCGAAGCAACGCGAAGAACCUUACGAGGUCUUGACAUCCUCUGACAAUCCUAGAGAUAGGACGUCCCCUUCGGGGGCAGAGUGACAGGUGGUGCAUGGUUGUCGUCAGCUCGUGUCGUGAGAUGUUGGGUUAAGUCCCGCAACGAGCGCAACCCUUGAUCUUAGUUGGGGGUGAAGUCGUAACAAGGUAGCCGUA